rnacentral:tRNA from 1 species
GGGGCUGUGGCGCCGUUGGCAGCGCGCUUCCAUGGCAGGGAAGAGGUCUGGGGGUUCGGAUUCCCGUAGCUCCA